rnacentral:rRNA from 1 species
AGCGAACGCUGGCGGCAGGCUUAACACAUGCAAGUCGAGCGGGCACUUCGGUGUCAGCGGCAGACGGGUGAGUAACACGUGGGAACGUACCCUUCGGUUCGGAAUAACGCUGGGAAACUAGCGCUAAUACCGGAUACGCCCUUUUGGGGAAAGGUUUACUGCCGAAGGAUCGGCCCGCGUCUGAUUAGCUAGUUGGUGGGGUAAUGGCCUACCAAGGCGACGAUCAGUAGCCGGUCUGAGAGGAUGAUCAGCCACACUGGGACUGAGACACGGCCCAGACUCCUACGGGAGGCAGCAGUGGGGAAUAUUGGACAAUGGGCGCAAGCCUGAUCCAGCCAUGCCGCGUGAGUGAUGAAGGCCUUAGGGUUGUAAAGCUCUUUUGUCCGGGACGAUAAUGCCGGUACCGGAAGAAUAAGCCCCGGCUAACUUCGUG